rnacentral:pre_miRNA from 1 species
UUACUACUCCCUCCGUCUCAAAAUUCUUGUUUUAGAUUUGUCUAAAUACGGAUGUAUCAAGUCACAUUUUAGUAUUAGAUACAUCCGUAUUUAAACAAAUCUAAGACAAGAAUUGUGGGACGGAGGGAGUAGUAA